UCUGUCAGCAGUAAGCUCACUUUCCAAGUUACAAGGCCAUUCUCAGCACACACUGACAACAUGCUGGGGACCCUCUGCACUCUCAUCACUGCUCUAACAUGUGUGAGUGGUGUGACGGUGGUGACACAGAAGCCUCCUGUUGUGACGCUGAGGAAAGGAGAUACAGUCACCAUGGACUGUAACCUGGGAACUGUUACUAAUGAACGAGCUUGCUGGUAUAAACAGAUUCCAGGAGGAGUUCCUCAGUAUGUUCUGAGUUUUCAUCACAGCUGGGGCUCUCCAAACUAUGGUUCUGGUUUCUCUUCUCCCAAAUUCACAUCUAAUCAUCAGUCAAAAUCAGAUUAUCGACUGAUCAUCAACAAUGUGGAGGAGGGAGACUCAGCAGUCUAUUACUGUAAAACAUGGGACACCUCUGUGAGUGAGUACGCAUCACAGUGAUUUACACCGUGACAAAAACCUCCUCACUGAAUACACU